GACUGGCUUCAGACUCACAGAUAGCAACCUGCCUUUGUCUGCCUGAUCUGUGGAUUCAAGGCAGAUGCUCCCAUGCCUAGCCCAGAAAGUAUUCUUUAAAAUUUUGUUUUUGAAAAACUUAUGUAUGUAUACAAUGGUAUGUGACCAUAUCCUAAUAUGCCUGGGACAUACCAACUCAUUUCCCUGUUUCCUAUAUUCCUUGCUGUUUAUUAUCAUUAAAAAUCCCUCAGUCCAAUCAGUGCUUACUAUAUGCAAAAGGGAAUAGGGUGUGCCAUGGGCAACAUACUGGUGUCCUGCUGUGGGAAGUGACUCCUUUCCCUCAGCAGAAAUGUACCUGCAAUAGUUCCUCUGCUAGGGAGGGGAUAUUGGAAGUCCUUCCUCCACUCACACUUGAAUGUUGGCGGGCUUGAUCUUUUACUGGUCUUGUGCAAAUAACCAGAGUUGUGAGUUGACUGUGCCUCAGCCAUGGUGUGCCCAGAAGACAGCAUUUCACAGACUCCUCUCCAUUUUCUGCCUCUUACAGUCUUUCUGCCCACUUUUCUGUGAAGUCCCUUGAUCCUGGUAGGGGUGGCAGUGAUAUUGGAUAUUCCUCUAUGGCUCAUAUUUCUCAGCACUUGGUAGCCAGUUCUGCAUUGGCCAUUACCCAGUGUGCAUAAGAACAUAAAUAUCAGAAAGGUAGUUAGUUCACCAGUAGGUUCCUCCAUAGUAUAUGAUCUCCUCAUAUAUAGUCAUGUGCUUUUGGCAAAGUUUAUGGUACCAAAUGUAAAAUUCUUUCUGAGGAAAAGGUCUUAAAUCCAAUCAGAAUAUGGUUGGUUAUUCCUAUAAACAUCAUAGAACUGUUGUACCCAAAGGCAUGACUUUCCUGGCACAUCAGUAUUGUACCAUGCAGGAUCCAGGUCUGGGUAAAAAAAUGGAUGUCAUUGCCUCCAGAAGGCCCACAUAGAACCUUCCAGAUCUGUGAAAGCCAUUUAGCCAGAAGAAAGAUUUCUAGUCAGUUCACAAUUGACUUCUCAAUGGUCUGUAACCAGAGUGGGAGGUGUCUAGAUGCUACAAAGAAUAAUUUUGUGAAGGUGCUUUAUAAGGCUGGACACAGUUAAGGAAGACUGAGGGUUUAUGGCACCAGGACUAAAGGCAUUUGAAAGCUGUCUCUUGGUUUGAAGGACAUGGGGCAGAGUUAUUCCUAGGCGAUGCUGAGACCUUGGCCUGGAGGAAGGAACCUGCAGAGAGCAGCUCUGGAAUCGGGAAGAGCGGAUAGAUACCAGGCUCCACUCAAGAUGACAGGAGAACCCCUACAAUCUGACAUCGCCUAUUCAUCCGUCAGCCAGGCAGGCGAGCAGAAAACGACUGGAUCUCCUGUAAUUAUGGACGUUUGCAGCUGCCUGGUUCCAGUUAGGAAGCAAUGUGCAGAACAGAGACUACCUGGCAGGCUGCCUUUGUGGGGAAGGAGGCAGAGAGAAGCUGAUGCUGGACUUUGAGAAAGCGGGACUCAGUCAGAAGAGGUUCGGCAGCUUCCCUCUGCAGUUCUGCUGGCUGUUUUGGAAGGAGGAUGUUUAAUCUAGCUAUAUCCAUUCCACUGCUGUUUAUCAAAAUAUACGUACAAGGCUUUGCCUCUAGUUCCCAUUUUAAAAGCAUCCCACAAAAUAUUCCUUUGCACUCAUGAUUUCUCAGUAAGUACCAGUAACCAUCAAGCCUGCUUCUGGUAGCUGUGUUUUCAUUUCCGGUUCAGAUGGCGUGGUGUACUAUGAGUUUGAUGGGAUUUCGAAUCAUCCAGGAGACACACCUCCAUGAACCUUGCCUAUGAACCCUGCCAAAGAAGACUAAGGGAAGUUAGCAAGACCUGCCUCCAAGUGGAUACAACAGACUGCUCGUGUAUAGAGGUCUAAGAAGAGAGCAAUGUCAUUCUUUCUGAGUGUGACUAUCACUGGUGUUUUCCCUUCUUAGUGUCAGACUCCAGCUUCUUCAGUCUUCCAAUGCAGACUCAAGAGCAGCAACUGUCUAGGCAGCCUCUUCAGCACCAUCUCAGGAGUAUAUGGGCAUCUGCUCUCAUAGACCAAUGAGCUUCUCUGCUUCUCCAAUGUGCGUGAAUAGCUAUCAUUGGACUA